CUGAUGCAGUGAUGAUUUCAUAGUUCAACAGAUCACUAUGAAGAAGCAACUUGUCUUUCGCUCCUAUCUGAUGAAUCAG